UGGUAUAAAUAAGAGGGCGCACGAAUAUGACGUCCUUCGUGGAGACGGUUGCUUAGCGGUCGCCUUCCCUCUUCGACAUGAGAGCUAAGUGGAGAAAGAAGCGCAUGCGCAGGCUGAAGCGUAAAAGGAGAAAGAUGAGGCAGAGGUCCAAGUAAACUGUCCACUCCGCCAUGGCUGUGACAUCAAAUGUUGCUACUAACCAGACCAGUGAGCACAGCUGGAGAUCCAGGACCACUCCCUUGUGUCAAGUCUGAGGCCAGUGGAGUCCGUAUCGACCC